GACGAACGCUGGCGGCGUGCUUAACACAUGCAAGUCGAACGGAAAGGCCCUGCUUUUGUGGGGUGCUCGAGUGGCGAACGGGUGAGUAACACGUGAGUAACCUGCCCUUGACUUUGGGAUAACUUCAGGAAACUGGGGCUAAUACCGGAUAGGAGCUCCUGCUGCAUGGUGGGGGUUGGAAAGUUUCGGCGGUUGGGGAUGGACUCGCGGCUUAUCAGCUUGUUGGUGGGGUAGUGUCUUACCAAGGCUUUGACGGGUAGCCGGCCUGAGAGGGUGACCGGCCACAUUGGGACUGAGAUACGGCCCAGACUCCUACGGGAGGCAGCAGUGGGGAAGAGUGCACAAUGGGCGGAAGCCUGAUGCAGCAACGCCGCGUGCGGGAUGACGGCCUUCGUGUUGUAAACCGCUUUCGCCUGUGACGAAGCGUGAGUGACGGUAAUGGGUAAAGAAGCACCGGCUAACUACGUG
rnacentral:rRNA from 1 species